GAUGAACGCUGGCGGCGUGCCUAAUACAUGCAAGUCGAGCGAACAGACGAGGAGCUUGCUCCUCUGACGUUAGCGGCGGACGGGUGUGUAACACGUGGAUAACCUCCCUAUAAGACUGGGAUAACUUCGGGACACCGGAGCUAAUACCGGAUAAUAUCUUGAACCGCAUGGUUCAAUAGUGAAAUACGGCUUUGCUGUCACUUAUAGCUGGAUCCGCGCCGCAUUAGCUAGUUGGUAGGGUAACGGCUUACCAAGGCAACGAUGCGUAGCCGACCUGAGAGGGGGAUAGGCCACACGGGAACUGAGACACGGUCCAGACUCCUACGGGAGGCAGCAGUAGGGAAUCUUCCGCAAUGGGCGAAAGCUUGACGGAGCAACGCCGCGUGAGUGAUGAAGGUCUUCGGAUCGUAAAACUCUGUUAUUAGGGAAGAACAAAUGUGUAAGUAACUAUGCACGUCUUGACGGUACCGAAUCAAAAAGCCACGGCUAACUACGUG
rnacentral:rRNA from 1 species